rnacentral:snRNA from 1 species
GGAUGUGAGGGUGAUCUGGCUGUGAUAUGUGUCGCCUCCUUGAUCGCUAGGGUUGAUUCAACUGAUCUGGCUGGCUAGGUGGGUGUCCCCCUCCUCCUUCACUGUUCCAUGUGCAUCCCUCCCAAAGCUGUACACUCAGUUGAGGACGCCCUUCCCCAGUAGAGAACUGUUCUUUGGUCAAGGGUAUACGAGUAGCUGUGUUCCCUCCUACAACCUCCAAACAAGCUCACAAAGUGUGAUUAUAUAUAAUUACACACACACACUCCCUAUGGAGUACUUCUCAGCCAUAAAAAGGAACUAAAUAAUGCCUUUUGCAGCAACUUGG